CGCACGGGUGAGUAACACGUAUCCAACCUGCCGUCUACUCUUGGACAGCCUUCUGAAAGGAAGAUUAAUACAGGAUGGCAUCAUGAGUUCACAUGUUCACAUGAUUAAAGGUAUUCCGGUAGACGAUGGGGAUGCGUUCCAUUAGAUAGUAGGCGGGGUAACGGCCCACCUAGUCUUCGAUGGAUAGGGGUUCUGAGAGGAAGGUCCCCCACAUUGGAACUGAGACACGGUCCAA
rnacentral:rRNA from 1 species